rnacentral:rRNA from 1 species
UACGGAGGGUGCAAGCGUUAUCCGGAUUCACUGGGUUUAAAGGGUGCGUAGGCGGCUAUGUAAGUCAGGAGUGAAAGUUUGCGGCUCAACCGUAAAAUUGCUUUUGAUACUGCAUGGCUGGAAUUAGGAUGAGGUCAGCGGAAUGUGGCAUGUAGCGGUGAAAUGCAUAGAUAUGCCAUAGAACACCAAUUGCGAAGGCAGCUGGCUAGACCUGGAUUGACGCUGAGGCACGAAAGCGUGGGGAGCGAACAGG